ACCCAAAUAGCUCAGUUGGGAGAGCGUUAGACUAUAGAUCGAAAGGUCCCUGGUUCGAUCCCGGGAUUCGACA
rnacentral:tRNA from 1 species